CACACGCGGACCUUGGCUUCACGGCCGUCCGGUGGCUCGUUCCGACCGCAAGGAAGGAGGAGCUCACAGGUCCGCGGCGGCUCAACCGGAGAAUAAACGAUGU
rnacentral:sRNA from 1 species